GGACAACAACAUUAAUUGAUUAUUCAAGAGGAGAUGUUUCGUAUGCAAUAUUGAAUAGUACUAUACAUGACACUGGAUAGAUAUUUAACCUAGUACUGUCCGAUGUAGCAUACCAAACAUCUCUCUCGUCACUUAGUUACGAAAUAAGCAAGGAACAUCAGAAAUUAAGUUCAGAAUAACAUAGUAGCCAAAGAAAUAAUGGCAGCCAUUGCAGCUGGAACAUACAGUGCCAUUCCUGAACUCUCCAUUCCAGGUGCAGGUGCAGGAGCACCAACAAUUUCAGUUGCAGCCAUAGCUCCAUUUUCUCCAAAACUCAUGAUCAGAACCAUGACAUAAACAGUGAAGAAUACACCCGUUUUUCUUCCUUCCAUUCUUGUGUAGAGAUUCUUCUCAGUUGUUUCAAGAAUACUUUCGG
rnacentral:lncRNA from 1 species